rnacentral:lncRNA from 1 species
AAGUCAGGCAUAGUUGAUGUAAUUCCAUCAUUUGUCAAUAUUGAUACUGUAGCUGAGGAUGUUGGAGGGAUGGUUGAGAAAGCCAAAGUUGUUGCAUCAGUAGUUGUUUUGGCAUCAGACAGUGUGGAAUCCAAAGUUGUUGUUGCAUCAGUAGUUGUUGUGCUGCCAGGUAUAGUUGUGGUUGAUGCAUCAGUGGUUGACAUUAGAGGGGUGGUUGUAGAAUCCAAAGUUGUUGUUGCCUCAGUAGUUGUUGUGGUGUCAGGUAUAGUUGUGGUUGCUGCAUCAGAUAUUGUUGCGGCUAGUGCCACAGUAGAGGGCGUUGGAAAGGUGGGUGUGGUAGCCAAAGAUGUUGUUGCAUCAGUAGUAGUUGUGGUGUCAGGCAGAGGUGUGGUUGCUGCAUCAGAUAUUGUUGCGGCUAGUGCCACAGUAGAGGGCGUUGGAAAGGUGGGUGUGGUAGCCAAAGAUGUUGUUGCAUCAGUAGUAGUUGUGGUGUCAGGCAGAGGUGUGGUUGCUGCAUCAGAUAUUGUUGCGGCUAGUGCCACAGUAGAGGGCGUUGGAAAGGUGGGUGUGGUAGCCAAAGAUGUUGUUGCAUCAGUAGUAGUUGUGGUGUCAGGCAGAGGUGUGGUUGCUGCAUCAGAUAUUGUUGCGGCUAGUGCCACAGUAGAGGGCGUUGGAAAGGUGGGUGUGGUAGCCAAAGAUGUUGUUGCAUCAGUAGUAGUUGUGGUGUCAGGCAGAGGUGUGGUUGCUGCAUCAGAUAUUGUUGCGGCUAGUGCCACAGUAGAGGGCGUUGGAAAGGUGGGUGUGGUAGCCAAAGAUGUUGUUGCAUCAGUAGUUGUUUUGAUGUCAGACAGAGUUGUGGUUGAUGCAUCAGUGGUUGACAUUAGAGGGGAUGUUGAGGAAUCCAAAGUUGAUGUUGCAUCAAUAGGUGUUGUGUUGUCAGACAGAGUUGUGGUUGAUGCAUCAGUGGUUGACAUUAGAGGGGUGGUUGUGGAAUCCAAAGUUGUUGUUGCAUCAGUAGUUGU